CCUCGUUUGUUCAGGGGCUGCCGGCCAGGGCUUCAGGACGUUUCUGCGGCUUUCCCCGCGCGGCCUGGGCUCCCGCGGCUGCUUUUCGGGCCCAUGGGCGCAGCCACUGCGCCAGGCUCAAGGGGGGCGGCCCCGUCAGGGCCCGCCAUCUUGGAAGGCCUUUUUUGCCGGUUCUUCCCGCUGAGGAAGUGUCGCUCAAGACGCUGGCCUAUGAGUUGUGAUUUCUGCCUUUUCCCCUUCCUCCUUGGGCUAAGCCAGACCAGAAAGGGCCCCGUGCGCAACGUGCUUCACAAUCUCUCAGGGAAAGCGGCUAACGUGGCGCUACUCCGCCUCCCCUGUUCCUUACCCUUGGGGCGGCCGCCAUGUUUCCUGAACACAAAAUGGCGACACGUGGUUAGCAUUCGUCGCCAACGAGAAAUUGGGGUCGGCCCGAAAGCUCUAGAAUGCACCCCUCUUCCUCCCCGGGGCCUUCCACCUCCGCGAGUUUUAUGACUUAAAAAAGCCCACAGGCUGGUCUGAAGGUCGGAGGCCUAAUUUUAACGCGUUUUCCUCCCUUUAAUUUGAAACGGGAACGCGAAUGACUGUAAAAUGUGGGCACAAUAUUUAAUCUCUCGCCUUUUUAAAGCUUAAUAGUGGAUAAUAGGGGGGCAGUAUCAAGGGAUAAUUUGGGUCCCCACAGUACCAAAGCAUUUAGAAACCUCUGUUUAAUUUAAGGAAUGAGAUAAGUUACUGCUUUUCUAGACUUCCUAGCAUGGGCUGUUGUGCUGGAGAGAACGAGAGCUACGAAGAGACUACAGUGCCUCUGACUUUUUCAUAGGACAGUUGGCCGAGGAAGACAAACAUAAAGAUGAAGUGCUUAAUUCAAGGUCACACAAUGUCGGGGAUGGACCUCCAGAUUUCCUUACUGACCUGCAUUAUCUUGUGGAUACCUGAGUGAAUUCCACACCACCCAUUUUAUAGAUGAAACCACUGAGACAUGGAGCAAUUGACUGAGUAGUCACUGCCCCACCCCUGCCUGGAGCCUCACACAUGACUCGCCUCCUCUCAGUGACCACAGGUGAGACGUGGUCUUGUAACACAGUGGUUAAGAAUGUGACUUUGGAGCCAGCCUGCUAGGGGCUGAAUUCUGACUCAGCCAUUUACUAACUGUGUGACCUUAGGUGGGUUCCCAAGCCUGUAAAAUGUAAGCCUUAUGCUGCUGAGGGCCAUCUUGCCACCCUGAGGGAAACGCUGCCUGAGAAUGAAACAAGCAUAAGUAAAAGCUGAGCUGUGAGAUGGAGCAAGAUGAAGGCCACAUGACAUCUUUGGAGCACCUGGAUCUAACUGUGCCUUAAGCUAGUCUAACCCUGAACAUUUCAUCAUUUCAUUGACAUGAGCCCAGGUUUUCUUUUUUUUUGGAUGGAGUCUUGCUCUGUCGCCCAGGCUGGAGUGCAGUAGCUCAAUCUCGGCUCACUGCAAGCUCCACCUCCCGGGUUCACGCCAUUCUCCUGCCUUAGCCUCCCAAGUAGCUGGGACAACAGGCGCCCACCACCACUCCCAGCUAAUUUUUUGUAUUUUUAGUAGAGACGGGGUUUUACCAUGUUAGCCGGGAUGGUCUUGAUCUCCUGACCUCAUGAUCCGCCCGCCUCGGCCUCCCAAAGUGCUGGGAUUACAGGUGUGAGCCACUGCACCCAGCCCUCAGGUUUUCCCUUUUUUUACCCCUCCUUUUGAAAAUUUGAUGUGGAAUUUUGCCACCUGCAGCCAGAAGAGUUUUAACUAAUCAGUGCCAUAAAUUUUAUAUAGUUCUCCUUGCAAAAUGUGGAUCAGCCUUUCUCAGCAAAUCCUUUGUCAUAAAGUGCUGAAUUGUAAGUUUGUCAUGAGAAUCACAUGAGAUCAUGCAUGUGAAGAACCUGGCAUUAUCCUCCUCAUAGAAAAAAACCAGUAAAUAUUAACUACAGGAAGCAAGGAAGGAGUGGGGUGAGGGGAAGAAGAAGGGGUACUGAUUUAAAAGAACCCUGGAGUCCUAAGGAUAAUCUAGGAACCCUCAGACCCAAUCCGAUACCCCUAUUCUAAAUGCUCCUAGUGCCCUGUACCUUCCCCUCAUAAGCCUUCAUUAUCAUUGUAAUGAUAUGUUUAUGUAAUAUUUUGAUUAAUGUCUCUCCUUCACUGACCUAGCAGUUCUAGCAGGGCAGUGAUUUUGCUGUGUUGCAUCCCCAGCACCUAGUCUGGUAUGUGGCAUUCAGCAUAUGUUUAUUGAAUGAAUGGCCAUGUGGUUAUUCAGAUCCUCCUUGAUUAUUGGGGUUAGGAUUGUGGCAGAAGUGGCAAAAUCAGGGAGAGUAGUCCCUGUCCCCUCUGUAUCUUAUACACUGCCCACACUCCCAACACACAUACACAUACAGAGAAUUUUGUCUCAAUUAGAUAAUUAACUUCUGCUUGGUUGUAAACCAAACCACUGGUUCUUAAACUUUCAUUGGAUCAUUUUAUUGAAGAAUUAAAUAGUGUGGUUCUGGCCUAAUGUCUGGAAAGCCUUGCAGAGGAGUGGAUUAGGUCUUUGUGAUAAACAGGCAGCCUUCCCUGCUCCUGUGUCUUUAUAAAAUCUAUUUAACUGGAGUAGUCCACCCUCCCUCAGGCUCUUACAGGAAUAUGUUGGAGGCUGUAGGAAGGUGGGAAACCGAGAGGGAAAGGACUGGGCCGCUGGAGACUUCACUCAU
rnacentral:lncRNA from 1 species